rnacentral:lncRNA from 1 species
CAGCGCGCCGGGGCAGCGCUCCCCAGGGACGGGGGAAGCCGGGAGACACCCGAGGAAAGGGGGGAGAGGAAGGACAGACACCCCCGGAGCGUCGGGGAGCCCCGCAGGACCUGCCCACCCCCCCGGAGCGGAGGUAGCGAGAGCCCGGGCAGAGCCGCUUUGAAGAGAGGAGCGAAGUGUAAAUAGCCGGUGAUUGAUGUGCUGGCUUUGACUGCGGAGAAAGCACUAUUUUAAUUCAAGUGGCCAGGUCAGAUGGUCACGGAAGAAGGUUGAAAGAAGAAAUCGCUGGCUCCUCUGGCCAUGAAAAAAACACCGUGUAAAUUGCCAUUUCAGAUUUUUCAAAAAACAUGUUCAGCUCUAAGAAUUCUUCCGAAUUCGUUACACUCCGCCGCGCGAGGCUGCGCCUUGAUGGCCCCGGCGAAGUGACUCAUGUUCCACUGGGUUUUAUUCCUGGGAAGACUUGUGCUGAACCAGAGGAAAGAGCAGAACCUUUGGGGAAGGAAUGGCACGGUUUGGAAAGCAUCAGACACACUCACUGCUCCCUGUCAGAAAAUGAAAGCUCUGGUUUACAUCUCAUGUGAGAAAAUGGCCUUAAAAAUAAAAUAUUGCUUUGAUAACUGG